rnacentral:tRNA from 1 species
ACAUCUUUAGCUGAAUUGGUAAAGCAGUUGUCUUCGAAACAACAGAAUAUUGGUUCAAAUCCAUUAAGAUGUU